CUACGGGGUGCUGCAGUGGGGAAUAUUGGACAAUGGGGGAAACCCUGAUCCAGCAAUGCCGCGUGUGUGAAGAAGGCCUGCGGGUUGUAAAGCACUUUCGGUUGGGAGGACUGCUUCUAGCACUAAUAUUGUUGGAAGUUUACGUUACCUUCAGAAGAAGCACCGGCUAACUCCGUGCCAGCAGCCGCGGUAAUACGGAGGGUGCAUGCGUUAAUCGGAAUUACGGGGCGUAAAGCGCGCGUAGGCGGCUAGAUCAGUCGGGUGUGAAAGCCCCGGGCUUAACCUGGGAACUGCAUCCGAUACUGGCUAGCUUGAGUACAGGAGAGGAGAGUGGAAUUCCACAUGUAGCGGUGAAAUGCGUAGAUAUGUGGAGGAACACCAAUGGCGAAGGCAGCUCUCUGGCCUGAUACUGACGCUGAGGUGCGAAAGCGUGGGGAGCAAACAGGAUUAGAUACCCGGGUAGUC
rnacentral:rRNA from 1 species